rnacentral:rRNA from 1 species
UACGUAGGGGGCAAGCGUUGUCCGGAUUUAUUGGGCGUAAAGAGCGUGUAGGCGGCCAAACAGGUCCACUGUGAAACUCGAGGCUCAACCUCGAGAGGUCGGUGGAAACCGUCUGGCUAGAGUCCGGAAGAGGAGAGUGGAAUUCCCGGUGUAGCGGUGAAAUGCGCAGAUAUCAGGAAGAACACCCGUGGCGAAGGCGGUUCUCUGGGACGGUACUGACGCUGAGACGCGAAAGCGUGGGGAGCAAACAGG